ACAGGUGCUGCAUGGCUGUCGUCAGCUCGUGCCGUGAGGUGUUGGGUUAAGUCCCCCAACGAGCGUAACCCUCGUUGCCAGUUGUUUUCUCUGGCGAGACUGCCCUGCAAACGGGAGGAAGUGGGAUGACGUCAAGUCAGCAUCGCUUAUGCCUUGGGCCACACACACGCUACAAUGGACGGUACAAUAGGUUGCAAUGGAGCGAUUCGGAGCUAAUCCUAAAAGCCGUUCUCAGUUCGGAUUGCAGGCUGAAACCCGCCUGCAUGAAGCCGGAGUUGCUAGUAACCGCAGGUCAGCAUACUGCGGUGAAUACGUUCUCGGGCCUU
rnacentral:rRNA from 1 species